CCACUACUCCCUCCGUCCCAAAAUACUUGUCAGAGAAAUUGAUAUAAAUGGAUGUAUCUAGAACUAAAAUAUGUCUAGAUACAUCCAUUUCUCCGACGAGUAUUUCCAGACGGAGGGAGUAUGAU
rfam:Triticum aestivum genome assembly, contig: Triticum_aestivum_CS42_TGACv1_scaffold_225100_3B